rnacentral:rRNA from 1 species
ACGCUGACAGAAUGCUUAACACAUGCAAGUCUACUUGAACUUCGGUUUGGGUGGCGGACGGGUGAGUAACGCGUAAAGAACUUGCCUCACAGUUAGGGACAACAUUUGGAAACGAAUGCUAAUACCUGAUAUUAUGAUUUUAGGGCAUCCUAAGAUUAUGAAAGCUAUAUGCGCUGUGAGAGAGCUUUGCGUCCCAUUAGCUAGUUGGAGAGGUAGCGGCUCACCAAGGCGAUGAUGGGUAGCCGGCCUGAGAGGGUGAACGGCCACAAGGGGACUGAGACACGGCCCUUACUCCUACGGGAGGCAGCAGUGGGGAAUCUUGGACAAUGGACCAAAAGUCUGAUCCAGCAAUUCUGUGUGCACGAUGACGUUUUUCGGAAUGUAAAGUGCUUUCAGUUGGGAGGAAAAAAAUGACGGUACCAACAGAAGAAGUGACGGCUAAAUACGUGCCAGCAGCCGCGGUAAUACGUAUGUCACAAGCGUUAUCCGGAUUUAUUGGGCGUAAAGCGCGUCUAGGUGGUUAUGUAAGUCUGAUGUGAAAAUGCAGGGCUCAACUCUGUAUUGCGUUGGAAACUGCAUGACUAGAGUACUGGAGAGGUAAGCGGAACUACAAGUGUAGAGGUGAAAUUCGUAGAUAUUUGUAGGAAUGCCGAUGGGGAAGCCAGCUUACUGGACAGAUACUGACGCUAAAGCGCGAAAGCGUGGGUAGCAAACAGGAUUAGAUACCCUGGUAGUCCACGCCGUAAACGAUGAUUACUAGGGGUUGGGGGUCGAACCUCAGCGCCCAAGCUAACGCGAUAAGUAAUCCGCCUGGGGAGUACGUACGCAAGUAUGAACUCAAGGAAUUGACGGGGACCCGCACAAGCGGUGGAAGCAUGGUGGUUUAAUUCGACGCAACGCGAGGAACCUUACCAGCGUUUGACAUCUU